CCCUUAGAUGUUCUGGGCCGCACGCGCGCUACACUGAUGCAUUCAACGAGUCUAAAACCUGCUCUGAUAGGGGUGGGUAAUCUUUUGAAUGUGCAUCGUGAUUGGGAUAGAUGAUUGCAAUUUUUCAUCUUCAACGAGGAAUGCCUAGUAAACGCAAGUCAUCAACUUGCAUUGAUUACGUCCCUGCCCUUUGUACACACCGCCCGUCGCUCCUACCGAUUGAAUGAUCCGAUGAAUAUCAUGGAUUGAGGAUGCAAGCAGGUUCGCCUGUCUUCAUCUUCGAGAAGUGAAGUAAAUCUUAUCAUUUAGAGGAAGGAGAAGUCGUAACA
rnacentral:rRNA from 1 species